UUGGAUUUCUGCCGAGGACGACCGGUCCGCCCUCUGGGUGAGUAUCUGGCUCGGCCUGGGCAUCUUCUUGGAGAACGUUACUGCACUUGACUGUGUGGUGCGGUAUCCAGGACUUUUACUUUGAGGAAAUUAGAGUGUUUCAAGCAGGCUUACGCCUUGAAUACAUUAGCAUGGAAUAAUAAGAUAGGACCUCGGUUCUAUUUUGUUGGUUUCUAGAGCUGAGGUAAUGAUUAAUAGGGAUAGUUGGGGGCAUUCGUAUUUAACUGUCAGAGGUGAAAUUCUUGGAUUUGUUAAAGACGAACUACUGCGAAAGCAUUUGCCAAGGAUGUUUUCAUUGAUCAAGAACGAAAGUUAGGGGAUCGAAGAC
rnacentral:rRNA from 1 species